rnacentral:lncRNA from 1 species
GGGCGGGGCGAGGGGCGGGCCGGGUCCCAGUGCAGCAGAGCCGGUGGACCGCAGGCGCUGCGGGCUCAGCUCCCAUGCGGGCGCAGCUCUGGUUGGAGGCUGGGACACGGCUCUGGCAGUGGCUUCUGGAUGGAGCGAUGACUGGACGGUGAGUGAUGCCCGGGCAGGAGUGUUAGUGGGCGUCCAUGGAGCACCACACCCCCGAGCCCCGGGCUGUCACCCGGCAGAUGCGCUGGAGCCUGGGCACUUGUGCCCUUUGACCGUUGCGCGCGGAGUCUCCUCCCACUGCCAGCCUGGCGCAUUGCGGGCUUCGGGCCCAAAGCUUUCAAUGGGCACUGUGCCUGGCACCUCCUUCAAGAGGAAGUCACUUUAGGAGCUAAGAUAUUAGCAUGAUAGGUGAGUGCGGUCUCAGGCUUCACCUGUGCCCACCUCAACCCUCACCUCAGUCAGUCUCCUAGAAGAAUAGAUCCUAGAGUUGGGAAGAGAGCUUCAGAGCACUUUUGCACAACUCUCUGAUUUCACAGAUGGAAAACCGAGACCAAAAUAUAGGCAGAAAGAGGGGCUUGUCUCACAAUCGCUAUUUGUGGAGGGUUCGCCUUCUACUAGACUCUGUGUUAAGGGUUUCAACACAAUAUACCGCACACUCUGCGGCACUGUGAUAUUGACACUUUCAUUAUCCCCAUUUUCAGAUGAAAAACUGAGGCUUAAAGAAUUACAGAAGUGUCUACCCUUACUCAGAAGAGCCAGUGGUAGAGCAGGAAUUUAAACUCAGGGCUGGCUGUGCCUUCAGGCCUCCUUCACCCCACCCCCUGGCUUUGAAGCUUAUACAACCUGCUUCCCUGCUCUUCCUGUGUCUGAACCUACAUUGUUGAAGGAUGCCUUAAUGUUAUCAUGAGUCUGGCAUAACCCUGACAAGGGAGGCCUCCUCUCAUACCAGGCCAGUGCCAGGCCAGCCAGCACUUUAUUAAAACUCAGUAAGCAGAGAUUUAGAAACCCUAUUUCACAUGGGAAUUAAAUGAGGUCAUGCAGCAAAUGAGGCCUGGGAUUCUGGAAUUCAAACCCAAACAGGUUAGACUCCAAAGUUUGCCACCACAGUGGCAGAAGGGACCCUCACUGUCUUCACUAUACUUAGCUGUGUCAAUCAAAAUCUGUUGUCAGAAAUGAUGAAAACAAAAAAAUAAAAACUGAAAGUGAAUACUGUAACCAACAGGUAAAUGCAAGUCUGCAGACCUCCUGAUCCUCUGUGUAGUUCCUGGGCUACUGUCACUGGGACUGGAGGUUCUAGGGAAAAGAAAGGAGUAUGCAGAGGAGAGAGGGAGAGAAGAGAAGAUGAAAUGCAUUGCAAAUAGGUGAAAAAGUUGCUGGCUGUAAGUUGUAAUGGGGUGCAUUUCACCACUUUGUCAGUGUAUGAUCAGUUUGUCUUUAUUAGUUCUAGUCAUAAUUCUGUGUGUAGUGUGGUGUUUCCAGACUUGUCAUUGAAAGUAAGGUUGAUGCACAGAUUAAAGUGUCCAUCUGAACCCCAGGAGCCUCUAGUGGUGGGGGGACCUGGAGGUAGAGAACAGAAUUAAGGUUCAGUAUCACCUUGGGUCAGGGCCACCUGGAUCAUGGCAGAUAAAAAGCAUGAACAGAACUUGGGUGUGUGUCAUUUUAUUAAUGCAAAGCCUCAGAUGGCCUCUGUGAGGCCAUCUGAGGCUUUGCAGCCCUGGGGAUCUGAUUCUGGUUUCAUGAGUACACUCAGUCUUUUUCCUCACUCAUAGUCACUUCUGCAAGAAGAUAACUCUCAUCCUCUUUGAAUUUUACAUUCCCAUUUCCAGAGCCUUAUUGUUUCUCUGGAGCCCCUAGAACUCCUGACUCCCAAUGUCAACAGUGAUGUUAAUGGGAGCUUCUGUUUAUUAUAGAUGAGUCCAUACUAUGCCCAUCUGAAAGGUCUCAUUUGCCUUCAUAAAAUUCAUCUAGAAUUAUAAUUAUUUGAUAAAUGAGAAACCAGAGAGGUUCAGAGGGGGAAGGGAACUUGCCAGGGGUCAUACAGCCAGAGAAACACAGAACAGAGCUUUGAGCUCAGCGCAUUACAAAGGUUGAGAGGUUAUCUUCUCACAGAGUACACUGAAGAAAAUAUUUUGAAAUUGUUUUAAAGUAAAUUAACAUCAAGUAGGAAGUGGGUGCACUUCCCAAAAUGUCUGUAGUUUUCUCAUUUCUGCUAAAGGGGAACUUCGAGUUUCCUAGGUCUCCUUUUCUGUGUCCAGCCUCCUUCCCCAGCAUAUACAACUGAUGGAAAUCUCUUAAACUCCCUCUCCUUGACUUGCCUGGCCUUGGAGAACACAGAUGCGAUGUCACAGAGCCCAGGAAUACACUGCUUGGAAGAGUCCUGAAGACAUUCUAGUCCAGCUACCACUAAACUCUGGCAAGAUCCAGGCCCCAGAGAUGCACUGCCUACUGAGGUCAUAUACCAAGGUUGAUGCCACUGCAAAACAUACCCAUCUCUCUGAUGCUCCUCUGCCUCCUCUUUUUCUUGCUGUGACACAUUUCAGUACAGAUUCUCAGCCUGGGAUCUAGGGACUCUAGGGAUACAUGAAAGCAGUCUCCCUGGCCCUUCUUCAAUAGUGUGCAAGUUUAGUGUAUAUGUGUGCACACGUACACUCAUGCAGUUUUCUGAGGAGAGUGUGGUAAGUUUUCAAGAGACUCAUAAGGACUCCAUGAGCCAAAAAAUUCUGAGAUCCACUGUGCCUCCCAGGGAACCAUUCCCAGCAGCUUCCUGUGGUACACAGCCUGGGGCAGAGGUAGCACGGGUAGGACAGCUAUGGAGAUUGCCCAGGGCAGCCAGGCUGCAAGCACUUGUUGGCAAGAGCUUAGAGGGUCUGCCCUUCUGCUAUGCACCCCUGGCCCCAGACAGUUGGGAUGUUGUCUAGCUACCAUACUAAGUACCUUAAUACUAAGCUAUUUCUGGGAGGAUCUUUCUUUCCACAGAUCCCCUGUUCUAUAGACAGGAGGUAAACCUUAUUUGUGGUGGCGGACACAGAGCCAGGGAAUUUGGGUAUAAAGUAUUAAGAAGGGACAGUAAGAUUGGAAAUGGCUUUCUUAUUCCAGAUUGCUGUGACUUGCAAACAAGGGCAGAAAACAGAACCGAGCCCUGGGAGUCUGGGGGAGGGCCAUCAGGAAGCAUUAGGAGGAUGGCCAGUCUGCUGUAUGCAUGGGGGACAAAAAUCAGGCUCUUCAGAGAAAGGGGAGGUCCAGGAAUCUGAAUGGGCUCAGGGAAACCCUUCAGGGGAAGCCUAGGACUGUGGAGGGUUAGGGAUCCAAUAGAGAAGAGCUGGUUUGGUCAGCCCAGAGUGGAGGGAGCAAUGGCUGCGUCUGCCUCUCCUGCACUUCCCAGGCUUCUGUCACUUCCAUCGGACUGUGUGCUGCAUCCUCUAGCGCUUCCCAGCUGGCGCAACUGGAGCUGGGUCAGGAGGCUGAACCAGAGGUGGGUGAUGGUAGGGGUGGAGAGAAAGGGAGGGGGGACAUUGAAACUGAACAGCAGGAGAGAACAGCAGCUGCACAGUCACUGCCCGCUGUCCACACUUGAACAGCUGACUUUUUUUAGCAAAAUCUGUUGCUAAGGGGCAGCCUGCUGUCCAGCCAGACCCCCUUAGAGGCAGCUGGCUUCUUCCCGUGGCCAACCUCCUGCCAUUUGCUGGCUAACAGGUGCAGGGAGGACCCUUUUAAAGAUUCAUUGUUUUCAGGGCCUCCCUGCUGCCCUGGAUGAUGUUUGAAAGUUGUGGCCAGGGCUGCAGAGGAGCAGAGGACUCAGGCUUCCCAGGAAUGCAGGGUAGAACAGCCUGCACCCAGUUGUGCCCCACCAUCUGGCCUCCUUUCCUGUGCUUCCCAGGUCACUUUCUUUAUUACCUGUUUGAUUUUAAUCAUGCUCAAGUGAGAAAAUAAGAGCCAUGAUGUCAUAAAAUGUUAGAACAGAGGUAACCAAGAUUUAAACAGGUAAUCAAGAGGUAAUCCACUUAGAUUUCACUGGUGCUAGCUUUGAAUCUUUUAAUUUGGAUGUAUUAUCCAUAUUGCCAAGAGAGGAUCCCAACACCUAUGCAAAGAAGGCAGUACAUAAUCUUACUGUAAGAGGCUUUCAAGUGCACACAGUUUAGUUUCCUGAAAAUCCUACUUCAUUUGGCUCCUUUUUCUUCUUUUACAAUUGACCUGUAGAAAUUGGGCCCCAAUGUUUCCCUGAAGAACCAUAGGGUCACCUUCUUCUGUAAUAACUAGCCCCAAGACUUCAAAAAAAGAAAAGAGGGCCCAGGCUCCGUAGUUGUAAAGGCCUCCCUGGCCUUUGUCCCUCCAUAGCAGGCUGUCUCUGCACGGCUGGCAGAGCAGCCGCUGAAGUGGAAAGUGAAAACAACUCACUGCUUGUUCACUGAGGACAGGUAGCCUGGCUGGCACACCCGUGCCCCUGGGGGCCUCUCCUCUGAGGAGCCUGGGAAGCAAGCUUGGAGGCCUGAGUUGUGUGCCCUGGGGCCUGGGGCCAGGGAGCAAGCCAGGACAAAGAAGGCUGCUGGGGGGAGGGGAGGCGCCCUCAGGCAGGCCAACUAGGCCUGUCCAGCUGCAUCUGUCACUCUGUGUUUUGCAGACUGUGCCUGGGUGGCAGGCCAGCCUUAGCCUCAUCCUUUCUGGGCUCAGGCUUCUGCUCGCACCUAAGCAUCCUCUCUUGAAUCAACUUGUACUUUCAUUGGGCUUCUGCCUUUUCAAGAUUGUGCUGUUAUAGAGAUUGAAAAAACAGUUUUUCAGAGAUAUUCAGAGGCCUUGCCCAGGGCACAAGGAGAUUCAAUGCAUGGAAGGCAGUCUAAGGAAAAUGUUCCAAAUGGAGAAACAUCCCCCUUCCUCUCCUGCUGGGUGUUACCUUCUUUCCCACAGUUCUCAUUCAAUGUCAUUUCUUGACAUUUCUUGACUGUGUCUUAGAUACUAUUUGAAACUCACCAAGACCCAGAGUGAGAGAAUGAAUGAAAAUCAGCUCCACCCUCGAUCUGGUAAAGCAGUAAACACAGUGUUUUCAUUUGAGUAGAAUUCUGCCAGCCAUUCCAGAGAGAGAGAGACUCAGGAGCUCAGGGAGAUAGGUAGUGUUGCAUGCUUGGGAUGGAGGCAUCUGAGAGCCAGAGAGACCAAGUGACUAAUGUAAAGGCCAUGUAACUGAUUAAAGUCAGAGGAUACAAAUACAUGUAUGGUUCUCUUAAAAGAGAGACUCCUUUUCUGUGGGACUAGAAUUCCUGUCCCAUAAGGUGCAUGGCCCAAUCCAGCAAACAGAAAGAGCCCUGUUACUAAAGCGGGCCCCAUCACACCUCCCAACCUUGCUCACUAUCCUCUCUGCCCUCCCAUGGGAUGGUGUCCCACCCUCUAUCCCUGCCAAGCUUGCCUGUUUAUCUUAUAAGCCCAUCUUUCCCUUUCUCCCUUCACUUUGCUAUCUGCAGUCUAGGGCCCUCUUUAACUUUCCUCCUGAUUCUUUCUCUGUGCAGUGGAUGUCACCCCACCUCAGCUAGAGACUGAGCACACUGGCCACGUCCUUACAUAAACAGGCCCUCAGAGGCAAAGUACUCCUAAAUGCUAGCCAAGGAGGCCAGUGCUAUCCAAAAAGGAAAUCUUGGUGCUCUAGUGGAUGGGGCUACAUGACACACACCUUACUGUCAACCAAAGCAGCUCCUUUUAGUAUGACUUGCAUAAAUUUUUCAUUUGAACAAAAAUUCUACAAUUAAGAAUAUGUCAAACAUAUUGGAGGUCAAUAUUCUUUAUGGUACAGAUGGGAAAAUUGAGUCUCUGAAAAAAAAGCAUGCAUAAGGUCUUAGCAGCUCCCAGCCCAAAGCUUUUUAGGAAAUAACUUCUAUUAAUAAGAAACCACCAUCUGACUUACAGGGAAAUUUUAUUUUUGGGUGUUUCUACUACAUACAGCAAAAUGCUGUGGAAAAUCAAAGUAUUGUAGAGUUUUGUCAUGAGUUAGAAGACGAAAAACUAGAGCCCCACUAAAUGCAUCUGUCUCAAAAGUGUGUUAGGUCUGACUAUAUUCCUUUUGAAAUAUAUUUAAAUAUAAAAUAUUAAGUUAAAUGUAUAUACCAUUUUAAAUUUACUGCAUUAGUAAGGCUAGGGUGGGUUAUGGUGCAAUAACAAAUCUCUGAAAUACCAGAGGCCUAUCACAGAGAUUUAUUUCUCUUUCCCAUUGUAUAUCUGAUGUGGAUCAGCAGAAGGCUGUGAUUCAGAGUCACUCAGGGACAAGGGCUUACUAUUGAGUAACUGUGCCAAUUAGAACAAGUGGCUUUCUCAGUAAUCACGUUAGGAGACAGGUGUUGGUUCUUAAAUGCAUUGGCCUGGAAGUAUCCAUAACACUUCUGUUUGUAGCCCAUGGGCCAGAGUUCAUCACAUGACCCCAUUGAACUGCAGGGUCUGGGGAGGGUUAGCAAUCACAUGGUCCUUUCAAGAGCAGUAAAUACCUACAAUCACUUGACUUUAAACAGUGGAAUAUAACCCUAACAAUCCUGAUUUCUGGCUUCCUAUCAAACCAGAUGAUCUAUACCUUUGAAGGAGUAAUAUGUCCCCAAUUUCCCACAGAUUGUGUGUUUCUCAACUAAGUCCCCAGAUGCUGUUUUGUUAUCCUGGUAUGUAUGCCCAACUCUGGAGGAGCUGACUUAAUGGGGAGUUUGUGGAUCUUCUUGUAGUAAUUCAGUCAUUCAACAACCAUUCAGCCUCUGUUGAUGUGCCAGGCUGUGGGGCUGGAAACCAGUAGUAAAGUAGAAAAGCAUUGCUACCACCUCACCAUGCUCCUGUGCUUCUGUGAGUUUUGGAACAAAAGGUGUGGCCUUCAGGGCCCAGCAGGGUGGGAAGUCAAGAGGAGGUACCUGGGCAAAGAGGUGCUGCACCUAUCCUGACAGAGGGCUGUUUGGGCAAGGGUUUCUUAGAGAGCUAGCAUCAGAAUAUUGGAGGAGCAGCAGGCUAUGUUCUGAUUAGAAACUGUAAAUGUACUAAAGGAGGAAAAAGCUUGGCACCCACUGUGAGCUGCAAUCAACCCAGCAAACCUGAGGCUCAGAAUAGGAAGUGGGAUUGAGGCUGGAUAUAGAGGAAGACAAGAGAAAAACCCACCUGCAGUUGUUUCUUUGUAAAUCCAGCCCUUCCUACAAUAAGCUUUCUUAAAAAUGUGGCUGUACCUUGUACACACAGAAAGUGUCAACUCAGAAGCCCAGACUCAGGGCAGCUCCUGCCCCACAAGUGUUUGAGGAACUACCCAAACAUGCAGCUGGCAAAUCACUUUUUCCACUGGCAAGCUGAGGAGUUGAGGAACUGAAACCCUAUUUUGAAACCUCUGCUGCCUGACCAAGAAGAAUGCAGCAGCGUGUCCCCAGCUCCAGGUCUCAGUGGUGCCGUUCCACUGUGUCCUUGAGUAGGUGGGAGGGUCUGCCUUACUUUAGAGCAAGGCAAAGGGAGUGUUAACUGGAUGACGCUGAGGUCACUGAAAAGCUCACCUCCCUCAAAUCAUUUCCCUUCUCCAUGCUAAUUGUAUUUUCUCUGCUUCUGCAAUCAAAUAUUCAUUCCCAACACAGAGGAUGGGUUCAUGAUAUUUGUGAGAGCAAGGAGGAAGAGAACUUGCUGGACGGUCAAUAUCAGUGUCAGAGGGGACAGAAUAUUCUGCAGUGACAGGCCCUGAAAUCAUUAGUAAAUAUAACAGAAGUUGGGCCUGACCUUGACUCCCAGUAACAUUUGCACACACACAGUUCAGCUUGAUAGGCUGUAAUGGAUUCAUCUGAACAAAUGUUGGGGGUUUGUGAAUAAGCUGAUCUCUGUGGUGGAAGGACAUAGAAUGCACCCUGGCUGUGUUACCUUCCAGUGUCACUCUACCCCUUUAACCCCUAAAUGCAACUGGGAAAGUAUGAAGAGAGAAAAACUUUAGCUCAUUGCCCAGCAUGUAGGAAGCCUUGAUAAGAGAGGAUCCUCAGCCAGAAUGUAAUCCUCAUCUGUAGUUUUGUUUUCUGUGAUUUUUGUUACCCAGGGUCAAUCUUAGUUGAAAAUACUGUGGAAAAAAAAUGCAAAAAGGAAGCAACACUAUUCUGAGUAGCAUGAUUAAAUCUCAUCAUCCCACUUCUUCCCACACAGACAUGAGCCAUCCCUUUGUCCAGUCUAUCCACACUGUGUACACUACCUGACCAUUAGUCACUUAGUAGUUGUCUCUGUUUUCAGAUCAGCUGUCAUGGAAUCACAGUGAUUGUGUUCAAGUGACCUUUAUUUUAUUUUAUUGCAUGGUACCCAAAUGCAAGAGUAGUGAUAAUGGCAAUUCAGAUAUGCUAAAGAGAAUCCUUAUAGUACUUUCUUUAAAUGAAAAAAGUUCUUGACUUGAUAAGGAAUAAAAAUAAUACUAUACAAUGUUGCAAGGAUCUAUAGUAAGAAUGUAUCUUCUCUUCAUGAAAUUGUGGAGAAGGGAGAAGAAAUUCAUCUGGCUUUUUUUUUUUUCCUUUUUUCUUUAUUACACCUAAAACUAUAUAAGUUAGGCCACAGCCUUGACUAAGUGCUUAGUCAAGCUGGAAAAGGGAUUAGAUUACAGUAUUCAAUACUAUCACAGGUUUCAGGAAUCCCCUGGGGAUUUUGGAAUGUAUCCUGUAUAUGUAAAAGGGGUGUGUGUUAUUAUAAGGGGAGACAGAGAAGUAGGAAUCUGGGCAACAUACCAGCAAGAUAGAGAAGACUCUCCUGAUUUACCCUCCGUGAGAGAAAACCAGGCUGGGCUUGAGAAGCCCUUUAAACCUUUUACAGUAUGGAAAGGCACACAGAUAGCUUCACAUGAUAAUCCACUACUCAUCCUGAAGGCUAGAUAUGAGCCUGCUGCACAAAGGAGAAAAGGAAGCUGAUGGUGGGGGAAUGCUAAAUCCCUGCCCAAAAGCAAUAUAGAGAAGAGGUUGAGACAAGAAUCAGAGGUUCAAAUGCUUGUGUUCAGUAGUGACUUCUUGUUUGCCAGGUGAUCUUAGGCAGCAUGCUUCACCUCUGUCCCUGCUUUCUUAUCUAUAAAAUGGGAAUAUGUGAUCCCUACUUCAUAAUGUUGUUGUAGGACUAGGUGAUUCAUAGAAAAUGCACAACAGUGUCCAGCAUGCUGUGAGCACUGUACUGAGUAACCCUGGACUUGGAACAGGCCCAGGGGAACUGACUCCCAAGGCAGUGCUAGGGCCACUCUCCCAGCUUAGUGGGAAGGGAAGAGAGAUCCAGGGUGGCUUUGAGGACUUGGGGAGCAGCCAAGACUGAAGCCAUCAUUCAGGGUGUUGCCACAAGGAAAGAGAGCCACAUGGCCUGAAAUGGUGAGAAAACUGUUCCAAAUUCCUAAAGAUCAUGGAGUUUUUCAGAGUGGGGGACCCCAUCCUCUGGGCCUGAUUCUUUCAACUAUAGUCACCCUACACUUGAACAGCUAUGAAGCCAAGGUUACAGGCCUCAGUGCUGGGGCCCCAGGUGCUAAAAUAUACCAGGUAGAACUCUUCCUGGCUCACCUGUCUGUGAACCCUCCCUCAUCUUUCCUCCAGGUAACUUCCAGGUCUGCAGACAAGAGAAGAUGAAGGAAGAGUGUCCAUCCAGCUCUCACGUGCCCAUCAGUGACAGCAAGUCUAUCCUUAAGUAAGCUUUGGUGUGUGGUAAAAGAGAUUUUGCAUCUCCUUUUGGCACCUCCCUGCAUGGCAGCCAUGUGGAGGGAUGGGGGACUUUUUCAGAGAUAGAAUAUGUGCCCUAGGGACAAUGGUG